rnacentral:rRNA from 2 species
GGUAGGACUACCCGCUGAACUUAAGCAUAUCAAUAAGCGGAGGAA